UUUUAACCGCAAUAUGGACAAAAUAUACUGACACAUGCACACACGAAUUGACUUUCCAGUACUACCGCAGCCUGCUGCACUUCCUGUAUAUCUUGAUUGACAGAUGUGUCGUCCAAUCAGCGGUCAAGAGAAGAUUUCACUACAGCCAAAGCCAUGUUUAUGUAAACAUGGCGAUGGGGUGACUUUUAACAAGGAGACGUAGUAGCGACAUUAAAGUUAAAGAACAAAAGUCACGAUUAAAUCAUUAUAUAGGAAGGAUUAUUUCAUCUUACCCACUGCUUUAGCAUUGUUGCAUUGCAGCUUUAUGGUCCGAUUUUAUAUAUUUAUAUAUUUAUUCCUAAUCGAUCGCCAUAAAAACCAUAAAUUGAUGUACACACACCAGCAGAACGG